AUGUCUCCUGGUGCCACAGAGGCUGCUGGGCAUCCUGCCAGCCUGAAGCCUUGUCCCUUCUCGCUCUGGUUCCUGCUGGCGGAAGAGGGGGCCCUGGGGGCCGCCGGGCCAGCUCAGUCCUGGCCGGGACCUUCUCUGCGGGGGCAAGUGCUCCCCCACCUAGGACCUUCUCUGCAGGAGGAGUGCUCCCCUGGAUGGGACCUUCUCUGCGGGGGGCAAGUGCUCCCCCACCUAGGACCUUCUCUGCAGGAGGAGUGCUCCCCUGGAUGGGACCUUCUCUGCGGGGUAAGUGCUCCCCCACCGAGGACCUUCUCUGCAGGGGGAGUGCUCCCCUGGAUGGGACCUUCUCUGCAGGGGGCAAGUGCUCCCCCACCUAGGACCUUCUCUGCAGGGGGAGUGCUCCCCUGGAUGGGACCUUCUCUGCAGGGGGCAAGUGCUCCCCCACCUAGGACCUUCUCUGCAGGAGUGCUCCCCUGGAUGGGACCUUCUCUGCAGGAGGCAAGUGCUCCCCUGGCUGGGACUUUCUCUGCGGGGGCAAGCGCUCCCCUACCUAGGACCUUCUCUGCAGGGGGAGUGCUCCCCUGGCCGGGACUGGGACCGGAGCUGGAUGAUCAGGUGCUUUGCCUGCUGAGCCUGAGGUCCUCAGGAGUGUGAGCUUCCAGCCACCCCACCCUUGACCCCUGCCCCCAGGUCAGGCUCCGGCCAGUGCCUGGCAAGCCACAGCCCGGGGCUCAGGCGCCCGCUCCCUGCUCUGGUGCACGGGCUUCUUGCGCAGGGUUGAUUACCCCCCACACACACCCCCCCCCCACCCCGUCUCCGAGGUUGGGAGCCGGUUGUCAUUCCAUCACUGUGUAAUUAGAGACUGUGGCCUGGUCAGCGCCCCAGGCUCUGGGCGGCUGUGUGAGCACCUCCCCGCUAGUGGACCUGUGCUCUCCUUCCCAGCCAGCCUGUCUGCGCGGGUCUGGGCCGACCCUCGCGCCACAGCCAGCGCACAGCUGUCUGCCACCUGCAGCUCCAGGGCCGUGCCUAGCCCCGCGGGGAGGGCUCCAGGGGAGGGGCCCGUGGCGAGUGUGAGGGAGGGAGACGGCAGCCCCUGCCAGCUGAACUCAAGUCCCAAACACGGGCUGGUGGUGGAGGCCCCGCAUGGGUGGGGGGCAUAGGGGAGCCUGGCUUGGGGCCCACCCAGCAUCACGGCAGAGCAGGGUGGGGAUGCCACCUAGUGGGGGACCCGGGAGGAGAGGGGUGCGUUGGUCACCUGCUCGUUCCGGCUAUGCUGUGUGGCAGCUGAUUAUGUUGAGGUGGGCUGCCCCUCCAGGGUGCUACCGGCAGCUGCUAGUCCUUUAUUCCUCCUGUUGCUAUAGCAGCUGCUAGUGCGCCAGCCACUGUUCCAGGCAGGAAAAGGGGGACGGCCAAGGGUGGAUAGCGGUCUCCGUUUCGGUAGUGUAGGGCAAGGCCUGGGCUCCUCAGCCGAGCCUUCGACCCCACCGUGGAAGCGCCAGGUGGGUGUUGGCGUAUCUGAGCAUCACAUGCGCAGCAAGUCCCGUCACCAGGCCUCAGGUGCUGAUCCUGCCGCCGGGGGCUGAGCUGCGCUCUGGCCUCCAGCCACGGGGAUGCGGCUCCUGGUGGCUCGGCUGGGCACACCGCCUGCAGGGGA
rnacentral:lncRNA from 12 species